AUUGAACGCUGGCGGCAUGCCUUACACAUGCAAGUCGAACGGUAACAGGUCUUCGGAUGCUGACGAGUGGCGAACGGGUGAGUAAUACAUCGGAACGUGCCCGAGAGUGGGGGAUAACGAAGCGAAAGCUUUGCUAAUACCGCAUACGAUCUCAGGAUGAAAGCAGGGGACCGCAAGGCCUUGCGCUCAACGAGCGGCCGGUGGCAGAUUAGGUAGUUGGUGGGAUAAAAGCUUACCAAGCCGACGAUCUGUAGCUGGUCUGAGAGGACGACCAGCCACACUGGGACUGAGACACGGCCCAGACUCCUACGGGAGGCAGCAGUGGGGAAUUUUGGACAAUGGGCGCAAGCCUGAUCCAGCCAUGCCGCGUGCAGGAUGAAGGCCUUCGGGUUGUAAACUGCUUUUGUACGGAACGAAAAGACUCCUUCUAAUAAAGGGGGUCCAUGACGGUACCGUAAGAAUAAGCACCGGCUAACUACGUGCCAGCCGCCGCCGUAAUAC
rnacentral:rRNA from 1 species